CCCAUUGUGUCCACUCCACCUGACCCUUACACUCCACAGAGAGGACGGGACAGGACAUCCAACACAUUGGAUGACCCAGCACUCACCAAUGACCUGGACAGUAACUCAGACCAUCUCUACAGCUUCUGUGGAAGUCUCCAGGCUCAGAAACUGAAAAGUAAUGUUACUCUGGAUGUUCUGUGUGUGGAUCCACAGCUGAAUGACCCCAGUAGCUUUAAUGCAAUACCUCAG